GGACAGGUGACAGAGUGGUCUAUUGUGCGCGCCUGGAAAGCGCGUGUACCGCGAGGUACCGGAGGUUCGAAUCCUCUCCUGUCCGCCA
rnacentral:tRNA from 1 species